UGAGUCGGUCGGGCGGCCGCGUCAGGUGCGAGCUGGGUGCAAACCCGGCUCGGGUCCUGCCGAGGAACGUCCGGGCUCCUCAGGGCAAGGUGGUGGGUAACACCCACCCGGGGUGACCCGCGGGAAAGUGCCACAGAGAACAGACCGCCGGGGCUCCGGCCCCGGUAAGGGUGAAACGGCGGUGUAAGAGACCACCAGCGUGCCGGGUGACCGGCACGGAUCGGCAAACCCCACCUGGAGCAAGGCCAGACAGCACGCGUUCGAGGGCGGCCCGCCCGAGCGUGCGGGUAGGUUGCUAGAACGUGCCGGCAACGGUACGUCGAGAUGGAUGGCCGCCACCCGAGUGCGGGCAACUGCGCUCGGGCACAGGACCCGGCGUACAGACCGACUCAUCCG
rnacentral:RNase_P_RNA from 1 species